rnacentral:misc_RNA from 1 species
UAAUUUGUUUCCUACAUUGAAAGUAUGGGAUUUCAAUAUUGGGUAUUUAUGGAAUUGGGUUCUCCAACCUCAACAGGUAGCUUGUUGGGUGUGGUUCUUCUAAGUUUGUAUUAAUGGUAUUAAAGCCGUCCACUAUGCCUCCUAAUUGCAAUCAUGCAAUGUAGGUGGUGAUGCCGGACUAGCAGUGUUCGCCCGGGGGCUAGAUUAAGCUAGUACAAAGCCUGCUUGCAUAGGCACCAGGGCUGCGGAGCGUGGUGGAACCACAUUUGACUCUCUGGAAUACAAAAGCAUGCUUUAGGCACAAAGUGACAUCCAUUAACAAUGCAUCUAGUCAAACCACCACAAACUUUGGCUGAUCUACCCAGCAUAUCUGAUAGCCUCAUUGUCCAUGUUCCACAGCCAACAUGAGCCACCAUAAGGACCUCUGAUCCAGACUGCACGCUUUCAUAUUACUGGACCUUAGUGAUGGAUUUCUAGGAAACAUCCUUCGGCCAAUGGCCAGUUAGGGCAGUCAUAACAAAUAAUGCAAUCUCUCCUUCAACUACAAGGGCCAAACCUACCUGAAAAAUCAGCCGUAUUACUUAAUUUGGAGUUUGAUGUGCAGUUGUUGCAACUUCUUUUGCCAAAAGUAUCAAUUUUGGAGCUUUAGCUGAAAGUUGCUCUUCAAACUAAUAUGGCCAAGCAUCUCAAAAUUGGCUUUCUAGGGACACCGAAGAGGGCCUCAAUAAAAAUUUAAUAUAACUAACCAAACUUUCUAGUUUUAAAAUGAAACACAACAGAAAAAGUAAAAAAAAAAAAUACCAUAUAUAGGGACUCAUUUCCUCUGGCAAAACCUCUAGUGCCAUCAAUUGGAUGCAGUACCUGCAUUGAAUUUACAGACUAAAUCAUAAUGAAGCAGAUAUAUAUCCAAUAGUAAUGCUUAAUGCAAAUACAAAAGCUGACCUAUCAACAAACUAUGAUGUGACUCCUUUUAAAAACAGAGGACAUGCUCAAUUACAGGCAUUAGAGAGUGUAAUUAUUAGGCAAUGAGACCAUAUAAUAUUUACCAUUUAAGAGGUGUAAAGCAAAUAAUUUGAAUAACCAGAUGCUAAAUACAUGAAAUAACAUUUGAAGAAAAAGAGAAGAUAUUGCCUCAAAAUCAAUCACAUUUUACUUGAGAGCUUUACCUACCCAUUAUGUGGCAGGCUUUGUUCCAUAACAAUAACAUUAUUUCCCUCUCUGUCAAUCGCUUCCAAGAAAAUGGUUUAUCAUUGGAGCUUGCUUUAUCAAUAAGCACAGUUGCCACCAGUGUUUUUAAAGGCCCGCAUGAGGCACAAGCCUUAGCACCUCUAAAGGCAAAAGGCAGAUGACAUCACAGAGACACGCCUCGGACCAAGCACGGGGCAAGGUGCACCUCUGCGAUGUACAUGUAUGUUUUUAUUUUAUUUUAUUUUUAUUUAGCUUAAAAGGAUGAUUCAAGAGGUCAUUAAUCAUUAGUUGCAAUGUUAUGACGGUAAAUGAUGACAUUUUAUUGGUUUAAUCAGAGGAAAAAUGGUGCAAAACAUUAUCAAAUAGUUCCCCUCACUGCUAUAGCAACAUACAUGUUUAUGUGUAAAUAACAUGCUACUUGUUCAUGGCUUGAACACUUUUGGUGAUUCAAUUAAUAGAUUCUAGUUGUCUAUUAUAAUUACAGACUUUCUAAGUUCCUAAUCUAACAUAAGAAAAAUUUUAAAGUGCUACACCAUGUUUAUAUUAGUUGCCCGUAGUAUGCAAUGGGCAAAUGCUUAAUCCAUGAACUAUGCACUGUUAUUAUGUAUAACAAUUCUCCUUGCUCUGCUUUUCUUUUUUUAUUAUUAUUAUUAUAAUUAAGAGUUUUGUUCUUUGUUAGCGAUUUUUAUGAAUCCCAGAAUGUGGCUCUAUUUUGUUUGGUUUUGAUUUAGCAUGAUGAGAACUCUGCUAGUUCCUUCACCUGAAUGAUUUAAUUUUUUAUGGAAUUGAUUCGAGAAAUAUUUGGAUGAGGAGGUCGCUUUCGAAGGAAAGACCAAGGUGUUGAACUCAGUACUUCAACAGUCCCACCUAUAAUAAACUGACUUAAUCCCAAUUGAUAGAGAAGAAAUUUUUACUGUAUGUUGGGAACUGCUUUACUUAAAUUUAAGAGUUUCUUAAUGUUAUAGUAAAUCUGAUUUCCCAUUUGUCUUUUGGUGGUUGAUUUUUAUUUCCUGCUUCUAUGAUGUUCAUGGCUACUGGACUUCUUCUUUCCUUUCUAUGAAAAAUAUUUUUUUUCCUCACAAGUAUUGAGGGUUGUAGUCUUCUCUCUGUGAUUUUCUGCUUUUCUUCUGAGUUUAGUGUUUGAGCAUGCCUUAUUUGGAUUGGAGGAUCAGAGGCCAGAUUACUGUAUCCAUUCCAUAGUUGUUGCCACAGGAAAAUUAAUUGUUGAAAUUGUAUAUUUUUUUUGGUCUUCGGUGAUCUUUUGUACCGGAUAGACUGCCAGAUUUCCACUUCUGUUGUUCCACUCCUCUGCAAACUUCUGUUUUUGACUUUUGAAGAAAGAAUCAAAGUUGAGAUUCCUGUAAUUUGUCUUUAGUGCUUGAAUUUUGGGGAAUGUACCAUAAUCAAUCGUUCUCUCUCUUUUCAAUCAUUUCAACUAUUCUUAUCAGUUUGCUUAGGUUCUAGCCAUUCUAUGUCUAAUUUUCUGUUUCUCUUUUGUUGGUUCUUGUUAUACUACCGUCAUAUAGUGCUUGCUGCUGGGUAAUCUUGAUAAAAGAACAAGAGGAUUGUUUCUUGCAUGGUGAGUUAAAGUUUCUCAAGUCUCUGAUGCUAAGGCAAUACUCUUUGUUUGCAUGCCAAAUUGGGAAGUUCAUAUGGUUCUAAUACAAAUCUCAAGAAGUGUGUGCAACUUUGUCUUAGUGUGCAGGCUUUUACUAUUCUUGUGAUACUCAUGGUUUUGUUGAAAUGAACUUUCAGAUGGAAGCACAAAAUCCUCAACAUGCACAAAUUAUUGGAAUAAAUGUUGAUGUUCCUGAUGGGGGGAGCAAUGUUGGGGGCAGUAAGAUAUGUGGGGAAGCACCUUGUGGAU